rnacentral:rRNA from 1 species
CAGCCGCCGCGGUAAUACGUAGGGGGCGAGCGUUGUCCGGAAUUAUUGGGCGUAAAGCGCGCGCAGGCGGUCCCUUAAGUCUGAUGUGAAAGCCCACGGCUCAACCGUGGAGGGUCAUUGGAAACUGGGGGACUUGAGUGCAGAAGAGGAGAGCGGAAUUCCACGUGUAGCGGUGAAAUGCGUAGAGAUGUGGAGGAACACCAGUGGCGAAGGCGGCUCUCUGGUCUGUAACUGACGCUGAGGCGCGAAAGCGUGGGGAGCAAACAGGAUUAGAUCCCCUGGUAGUCCACGCCGUAAACGAUGAGUGCUAAGUGUUAGAGGGGUUAAACCCUUUAGUGCUGUAGCUAACGCGUUAAGCACUCCGCCUGGGGAGUACGGCCGCAAGGCUGAAACUUAAAGGAAUUGGCGGG